UUGCUUCCGCAAUAUAUAUUCUAUAUUUGGAAUGAUACAGAGAGGAUUAACAUGGCCCCCGUGCAGGGAUAACUGCUUGUGACAUAAUUUGACAAGUCGGGAUUUCU
rnacentral:snRNA from 1 species